rnacentral:rRNA from 1 species
GAACGGGUGAGUAACACGGUGGGUGAUCUGCCUGCACUUCGGGAUAAGCUUGGGAAACUGGGUCUAAUACCGGAUAGGAGCCAUCUUUAGUGUGGUGGUUGGAAAGUUUUUUCGGUGUAGGAUGAGCUCGCGGCCUAUCAGCUUGUUGGUGGGGUAAUGGCCUACCAAGGCGGCGACGGGUAGCCGGCCUGAGAGGGUGUACGGCCACAUUGGGACUGAGAUACGGCCCAG